CACAGAAUACUACACAGAAGUCCAUCUCCAUUGUUUUUUGCGUAAGCGUUAUUCGUCAUGAUUCGUCACUCAGCAAGUACCGUAAACAGAAGCAGUCACCCCCCUGGACAUGCGCCAUUUUUAGUAUUUCCAGGGGGGUGACUGCUUCUGUUUACGGCACUUGCUGAGUGACGAAUCAUGACGAAUAACGCUUACGCAAAAAACAAUGGAGAUGGACUUCUGUGUAG